rnacentral:lncRNA from 1 species
AAGAAGUUCAAGUGGAAUACUUGUUGAGAAGGCUUGACUGAUAUGAACAUGUAUAGUUUUGUCAUCUUCACUCAUUUUGGAGUGUAGUGGGAGCAUGGAUCAGAGAAAAUUAUAUGGAGAUUCAUGGUCUUCAAGCAUAAUUAACUAGUUAUAUUAUUUUUUAAAUUACAAAUUAGUCUUUAUUUAAUAAGUAAUAGAAUUAAAGGUUGUAGUAACCUUUCCAAAUAUUUAUGUACUGACCUUAUUAAUAAUAUUCUGUCUCAAACGCAAAAGAAAG